rnacentral:lncRNA from 1 species
CCCCUCAGGGAUAGGAAUCUCGUACUCUCUAAAUAACAGAGUGAAUACCAUACCGUAGGGUAGGGUGAGCCUAGGUCUGUCUAGUGGCUCACACAGGUAUCGAUAAAUGAGUUUGGGGAAGUUGAUUGGGGUGUCCUGAAGCAUGUAGAACAUGAGAGCUAGGUCUCUCUCAGAUACAAAAUCAAAUCUCCCGGUCUUAGGGAAGAUGGACCUAGACAAUAUACUCAGGAGGAUCCGCACCUCAAUCGGAAGUGAGCUAGCGGAUACCUCGUCUAAGGGUGACU